AGAGUUUGAUCAUGGCUCAGGACGAACGCUGGCGGCACGCUUAACACAUGCAAGUCGAACGAGAGAAGAGGAGCUUGCUUUUCUGAUCUAGUGGCGGACGGGUGUAACACGUGAGCAAUCUGCCUUUCAGAGGGGGAUACCGAUUGGAAACGAUCGUUAAUACCGCAUAACAUAAUUGAACCGCAUGAUUUGAUUAUCAAAGAUUUAUCGCUGAAAGAUGAGCUCGCGUCUGAUUAGCUAGUUGGUAAGGUAACGGCUUACCAAGGCGACGAUCAGUAGCCGGACUGAGAGGUUGAUCGGCCACAUUGGGACUGAGACACGGCCCAGACUCCUACGGGAGGCAGCAGUGGGGAAUAUUGCACAAUGGAGGAAACUCUGAUGCAGCGAUGCCGCGUGAGGGAAGAAGGUUUUAGGAUUGUAAACCUCUGUCUUCAGGGACGAAAAAAGACGGUACCUGAGGAGGAAGCUCCGGCUAACUACGUGCCAGCAGCCGCGGUAAUACGUAGGGAGCGAGCGUUGUCCGGAAUUACUGGGUGUAAAGGGAGCGUAGGCGGGAUCGCAAGUCAGAUGUGAAAACUAUGGGCUUAACCCAUAAACUGCAUUUGAAACUGUGGUUCUUGAGUGAAGUAGAGGUAAGCGGAAUUCCUAGUGUAGCGGUGAAAUGCGUAGAUAUUAGGAGGAACAUCAGUGGCGAAGGCGGCUUACUGGGCUUUAACUGACGCUGAGGCUCGAAAGCGUGGGGAGCAAACAGGAUUAGAUACCCUGGUAGUCCACGCCGUAAACGAUGAUUACUAGGUGUGGGGGGACUGACCCCUUCCGUGCCGCAGCAAACGCAAUAAGUAAUCCACCUGGGGAGUACGACCGCAAGGUUGAAACUCAAAGGAAUUGACGGGGGCCCGCACAAGCAGUGGAGUAUGUGGAUUAAUUCGAAGCAACGCGAAGAACCUUACCAGGUCUUGACAUCGUAUGCAUAGCUCAGAGAUGAGUGAAAUCUCUUCGGAGACAUAUAGACAGGUGGUGCAUGGUUGUCGUCAGCUCGUGUCGUGAGAUGUUGGGUUAAGUCCCGCAACGAGCGCAACCCUUACUGUUAGUUGCUACGCAAGAGCACUCUAGCAGGACUGCCGUUGACAAAACGGAGGAAGGUGGGGAUGACGUCAAAUCAUCAUGCCCCUUAUGACCUGGGCCUCACACGUACUACAAUGGCUGUCAACAGAGGGAAGCAAAGCCGCGAGGUGGAGCGAACCCCUAAAAGCAGUCUUAGUUCGGAUUGUAGGCUGCAACCCGCCUACAUGAAGUCGGAAUUGCUAGUAAUCGCAGAUCAGCAUGCUGCGGUGAAUACGUUCCCGGGCCUUGUACACACCGCCCGUCACGCCAUGGGAGUCGGUAACACCCGAAGCCUGUAGUCUAACCGCAAGGAGGACGCAGUCGAAGGUGGGAUUGAUGACUGGGGUGAAGUCGUAACAAGGUA
rnacentral:rRNA from 1 species